AUUGAACGCUGGCGGCAUGCCUUACACAUGCAAGUCGAACGGCAUCGCGGGAAAGCUUGCUUUCCUGGCGGCGAGUGGCGAACGGGUGAGUAACACAUCGGAACGUACCGGCUAGUGGGGGAUAACCCGUCGAAAGACGGGCUAAUACCGCAUACGCUCUUCGGAGGAAAGCAGGGGACCUUUGGGCCUUGCGCUAGUCGAGCGGCCGAUGUCCGAUUAGCUAGUUGGUGGGGUAAAGGCCUACCAAGGCGACGAUCGGUAUCGGGUCUGAGAGGACGAUCCGCCACACUGGGACUGAGACACGGCCCAGACUCCUACGGGAGGCAGCAGUGGGGAAUCUUGGACAAUGGGGGCAACCCUGAUCCAGCAAUGCCGCGUGGGUGAAGAAGGCCUUCGGGUUGUAAAGCCCUUUCGGCAGGGAAGAAAUCGGCGGGGCGAAUAACCCUGCUGGAUGACGGUACCUGCAGAAGAAGCACCGGCUAACUACGUG
rnacentral:rRNA from 1 species